rnacentral:lncRNA from 1 species
CUGGGGACAAGCUCAGAGGAGUCUCGUGGAAAAAAAGUCAAAAAGGAGAGAAGCCGAGGAGUCUAUUUUAGGACUGUUUUAGGAGUCUAUUUUUAGGAGGAAAGAGCAAGAGUACUAGCACUGUAUGGUGUAUGCACCAGGAGCACAGCAGCCCAGGAGCUCCAGGUCAGGAGAAGGAGGACACGUCAGCCAUGCAACACUGGCCAGUCACCGCAUGGUUCCAGAAAUAAAAUUGAGAGAGAGAGAGAGAGAGAGAUCAAAGGGAUUCGGCAACUGAAAUGGAGACAACUCCAGGGAAGCAACACAACUACUGUCACUUAAAAGCGAAUCUUUGCUGCUGCCUCAGCUUACAGAGAACAGAAGCUAGAGGUGCUAUAAAGACUUCACUGAG